CGUACACUCCUGCGGGAGGCAGCAGUGGGGAAUAUUGGACAAUGGGCGCAAGCCUGAUCCAGCCAUGCCGCGUGAGUGAUGAAGGCCCUAGGGUUGUAAAGCUCUUUCACCGGUGAAGAUAAUGACGGUAACCGGAGAAGAAGCCCCGGCUAACUUCGUGCCAGCAGCCGCGGUAAUACGAAGGGGGCUAGCGUUGUUCGGAUUUACUGGGCGUAAAGCGCACGUAGGCGGACUAUUAAGUCAGGGGUGAAAUCCCGGGGCUCAACCCCGGAACUGCCUUUGAUACUGGUAGUCUUGAGUUCGAGAGAGGUGAGUGGAAUUCCGAGUGUAGAGGUGAAAUUCGUGGAUAUUCGGAGGAACACCAGUGGCGAAGGCGGCUCACUGGCUCGAUACUGACGCUGAGGUGCGAAAGCGUGGGGAGCAAACAGGAUUAGAUACCCGAGUAGUCC
rnacentral:rRNA from 1 species